CCCACUAGUGGUGUUAACUACUUUUUUUUUUAUAAAGUUAUAGAUGGACACAAUACCUUUUAUUUUUUAUUUGUUUAUUUUUAUGUGGUGCUGAGGAUCGAACCCAGUGCCUCACACAUAGUAGGCAAGUAAGUGCUCUAUCACUGAGCUACAGCCCCAGCCCCUAAAACACACUUUUUCAAAAAAAAAAAAAAUCACUCCUUAAAAUCUCUUCUGAUUUAAUGACAGACUAACCUGUGAUCUCUUAACUCAGGAGUUUUACAGGGUUUUGUUUGGAUACUGGGACUCGAAACCAAGGGUACUUGACCACUGAACUACUUUCCCAGCUCUUUUUGUUUUAUCUUUUGAGGCAGGGUCUCACCAGGUAAAGGAAAGCUGCUCAUUUAUGACAGUCAGGAAGGGGAGGGAGAGAAGGAGGGGGGCAGGCUACAAUCUUCUUAAGAGUAUGAUAUAGAAUGAGGCAAAUGCCAUAAGAAAGGAAAUUAAAAAAGAAAGAAUUGCUGACCAGGGAGGAUCAGAAAAAGGUUACCUGAGGGGUCAGCAUUUGAAUUGACAGGAUAGGAGUAGUAAGAAGAAAGGUCUUCUUACCAAGGAAAACCAGGAAAGAAUAGGGGAGCUAAGAGUAAGGUGGGUAGAAGAGGCAAGACCAGUGAGCCAACUAAAAUUCAUCUUUCUACCCAAGUGCUUUGUUAGUUUUUGCUCGCUCCCUACCUACCUACAGGCCUGUAAUCCCAGUGAUUUGGGAGGCUGAGGCAGGAGGAUCAGGAGUUUGAGGCUAACCUCAGCAACUUAGGAAGACCCUAUCUCAAAAUAAAAAAUAAAAGGGCUGGGGUGUAACUCAGUGGUAAAAUGCCCCUGAAUUUGAUCCCUAGUAGCAAAAGAAAAAAACAAGACUAUUCUGUUUUGAAAACACAGGUAAAACAGGAGAGCCUAUAAUGAAUGGGUCUCUAUCUCAGGUUUCCUAACUCCUCCUAGUGAAUGUGCUCUCCACAGACUACACUGUAAUUUAUGUGAGUGAAUAAGCUGGAUUUUGUCAGAGAAUCCUCUACGGUAGUAUGUCCUUUGUACUUCCUCAUAAAUGACCAACUAAACCUUAACUUGUUAUGUAGCACUACUGUUGAAGAGAUGGCACUGUAACUGGACCUUGGAGUCAUAGGAAACUGAAGUUCCAUUCCUUGGUUGUAUCCUGCUGGCUUAACCAGCUUCUCCUCCCUGUGACACUGGGAAGAUGGUAAUUCCUGGAUAGAUUGUCUUUAUAAGGAGAAAAGUUUGGCACUGUGAUUUCCUGUGUUUCUUCCACUGCAGUCCGAGAUUCCGGCCUGGCUCGCCUAGACAGCAGUGC
rnacentral:lncRNA from 1 species